AUACAGCAAUCAGGAAACAGGGUCCCUCGGCGAACAAGCAUCCUUGUGUUCCUCUGGUGCAAAGACUUUUCCCGGGUCCUCCAGCAACCAGGCCCUCGUAUUCCAGGUUCUAAACCGACCAGGUGUCCUUUGGGUCCCACGGCGAAAAAUCAUUGUGCCUCGACAACCAGUGCCCUCUGCAUCAUACAGCAAUCAGGAAAUAGCAUCCCUCGGCGAACAAGCAUCCUCAAGUUCCUCUGGCGAAUAGGCUUUUCUAGGGUCCUCCAGCAACCAGGCCCUCGUAUUCCAGGUUCUAAACCGACCAGGUGUCCUCUGGGUCCCACGGCGAAAAAUCUUUGUGUCUCGACAACCAGUGUACUCUGCAUCAUACAGCAAUCAGGAAACAGGGUACCUCGGCAAACAAGCGUCCUCUGUUGAACAGGAUUUUCUUGGGUCCUCCAGCAACCUACCUACAGCAAUCAGGAAAUAGCAUCCCUCGGCGAACAAGCAUCCUCAAGUUCCUCUGGCGAAUAGGCUUUUCUAGGGUCCUCCAGCAACCAGGCCCUCGUAUUCCAGGUUCUAAACCGACCAGGUGUCCUCUGGGUCCCACGACGAAAAAUCUUUCUGCCUCGACAACUAGUGUCCUCUGCAUCAUAUAGCAAUCAGGAAACAUGUCCCUCGGCGAACAAGCGUCCUUAGGUUCCUCUGGUGAAUAGGCUUUUCCCGGGUCCUCCAGCAACCAGGCCCUCGUAUUCCAGAUUCUAAACCAACCAAGUGUCCUCUGGGUCCCAUGGGAAAAAUCAUUGUACCUCAACAACCAGUGUACUUUGCAUCAUACAGCAAUCAGGAAAAAGGGUUCCUCGGCGAACAAGCGUCCUUGGGUUCCCCUGGGAAAUAGUUAUUUUCCGGGUACUCCAGCGACCAGGGCCCUCGUAUUCCAGGUUCUAAACCAACCAGGUGUCCUCUGGGUCCCACGUUGAAAAAUCAUUGUGCCUCGACAACCAGUGUCCGCUGCAUGAUACCGCAAUCAGGAAAUAGGGUUCCUUGGCAAACAAGUGUCCUCAGAUACCCCGGGGGAAUAGAUUUUUCUUGGGUCGUCCGGCGACCAGGGCCCUCAUAUUCCAGGUUCUAAACUAAUAAGAUGUCCUUUGGGUCCCAUAGCAAAAAUCAUUGUGCCUGAACAACCAAUGUACUCUGCAUUAUACAGCAAUCAGGAAAUAGGGUUCCUCAGCGAACAAGUGUUCUCGGAUACCCCUGGGGAAUAGAUUUUUCCCGGGUACUCCAGUGACCAGGGCCUUCAUAUUCCAGGUUCUAAACUGACAAGAUGUCCUUUGGGUCCCACAGCAAAAAUUCAUUGUGCACAGACAACCAGUGUACUCUGAUUCAUACAGCAAUCAGGAAAUAGGGUUCCUCGGCGAACAAGCGUCCUAGGGUUCCCCUUGGAAAUGGUUAUUUGCAGGUACUCU